CAAGUCGGACGGGAUUACUUUUGGUAGCAAUACCGAAAGUGAUUCAGUGGCGAACGGGUGCUUAACACGUGGGCAACCUGCCGAGAAGUGGGGGAUAGCUCGCCGAAAGGCGAAUUAAUACCGCAUGUGAUCAGCGGAGACAUCUUCGCGAAAUCAAAGCCGGGGCAACCUGGCGCUUUUUGUGGGGCCCGCGGCCUAUCAGCUUGUUGGUGAGGUAACGGCUUACCAAGGCUUUGACGGGUAGCUGGUCUGAGAGGACGACCAGCCACACUGGGACUGAGACACGGCCCAGACACCUACGGGUGGCAGCAGUCGAGAAUUUUUGACAAUGGGGGAAACCCUGAUCGAGCGACGCCGCGUGGAGGAUGAAGGUCUUCGGGUUGUAAACUCCUGUCAUUUGGGAACAAUGGUUAUGCGUUAACUGCGCGUGACUUGAUAGUACCAGAAGAGGAAGAGACGGCUAACUCUGUGCCAGCAGCCGCGGUAAUACAGAGGUCUCAAGCGUUGUUCGGAUUCAUUGGGCGUAAAGGGUGCGUAGGCGGCGCGGUAAGUCGGGUGUGAAAUCUCGGAGCUUAACUCCGAAACUGCAUUCGAUACUGCCGUGCUUGAGGACUGGAGAGGAGACUGGAAUUUACGGUGUAGCAGUGAAAUGCGUAGAUAUCGUAAGGAAGACCAGUGGCGAAGGCGGGUCUCUGGACAGUUCCUGACGCUGAGGCACGAAGGCCAGGGGAGCAAACGGGAUUAGAUACCCCGGUAGUCCUGGCAGUAAACGGUGCACGUUUGGUGUGGGAGGAUUCGACCCCUUCUGCGCCGGAGCUAACGCGUUAAACGUGCCGCCUGGGGAGUACGGUCGCAAGAUUAAAACUCAAAGAAAUUGACGGGGGCCCGCACAAGCGGUGGAA
rnacentral:rRNA from 1 species